rnacentral:rRNA from 1 species
CCUACGGGAGGCAGCAGUGGGGAAUAUUGCGCAAUGGGCGAAAGCCUGACGCAGCGAUGCCGCGUGAGGGAUGAAGGUCUUCGGAUCGUAAACCUCUGUCAGCAGGGAAGCACGGUCACUGUGCUAAUCAGCAGUGAAUUGACGGUACCUGCAAAGGAAGCACCGGCUAACUCCGUGCCAGCAGCCGCGGUAAUACGGAGGGUGCGAGCGUUAAUCGGAAUUACUGGGCGUAAAGCGCUCGUAGGCGGUAUGUCAAGUCAAGGGUGAAAUCCCCGCGCUCAACGUGGGAACUGCCGUUGAAACUGGCAAACUGGAGUGUGCGAGAGGAUAGCGGAAUUCCAGGUGUAGGAGUGAAAUGCGUAGAUAUCUGGAGGAACAUCAGUGGCGAAGGCGACUAUCUGGCACAUAACUGACGCUGAGGAGCGAAAGCGUGGGUAGCAAACAGGAUUAGAUACCACAGUAGUC